GUAGGGAAUCUUCCACAAUGGACGAAAGUCUGAUGGAGCAACGCCGCGUGAGUGAAGAAGGUUCUCGGAUCGUAAAACUCUGUUGUGAGGGAAGAACAAGUACCGGAGUAACUGCCGGUACCUUGACGGUACCUCAUUAGAAAGCCACGGCUAACUACGUGCCAGCAGCCGCGGUAAUACGUAGGUGGCAAGCGUUGUCCGGAAUCAUUGGGCGUAAAGCGCGCGCAGGCGGUCCCUUAAGUCUGAUGUGAAAGCCCACGGCUCAAGCGUGGAGGGUCAUUGGAAACUGGGGGACUUGAGUGCAGAAGAGGAAAGCGGAAUUCCAAGUGUAGCGGUGAAAUGCGUAGAGAUUUGGAGGAACACCAGUGGCGAAGGCGGCUUUCUGGUCUGUAACUGACGCUGAGGCGCGAAAGCGUGGGGAGCAAACAGGAUUAGAAACCCCUGUAGUCC
rnacentral:rRNA from 1 species